ensembl:lncRNA
GAGGAAUCUCUCCGAAACAGCAGGUGAUGUGUUAUGACAGAUGCCUUUUGUGGCAAUAUUUGUUCAACACAAUGCCUGUUCCCCUCUCUUUCUGUUUUCCAAACCUGCUCACAGGCUUCCCAGACNGUAGAGGGAGGCAGAGUUGUGGCUGGUGAUGCCCAGAGGGAAAAUGAGAGACACAAUAGUGCCAGGAGGAACAGCCAAAAACACCUAGAUGGUUGCCAGUGCUUCCUUCCCUCUUCGUUCUUUCUGGAGAAGAGCCAUGGCUUCGUGGCAAAGCCUCUGCUUUGUGUUCAGAAGAUCCCAGCUUCAAUUCCUGGCACAGGUUUUCACAGAUCCCCUGUCUGAACUUCUGGAGAGCUUUGGUGUCUUGGUGAACCAGGUAUUAAGGACACAAAGUCAGAAUGACUUCCUUUACCUUGGGACAAGUUCUGGUAUUUCAUUUUGGGAAGAUGCUGCCAGGAGAGAAGAGAGUUUUCAGAAAAUCGCUCUGACCUUCCAGCGAGGUCUCUGGGAACCAACAAUGUUUACAGGAGUGCGGAAUUCAAUUACUUGCUACGUGAUACUGUUCAGAACUCAGGCAAGAUCUCAAAGCUUGUUCCACAUUAAAAAAGGAGGCGGGAAAAGUAUCAUCUCAGGGCUCUGACUUGGGGGCUCCCAGCUGAGAUUCAGGCUGUUGCAAAAAUUGGGUGAAUAUGAGCUAAGGAGUGUCCCGCUCUGCAUUUCUGCAGGAUUUCAUGGCUAAUUUUCCCUUUGUUCAAUCUUGGGUUGUAGCCUGUGUGGAGCUUUGAGUUGUUCCUAUUGAGUGGUCCAUAAACGGGGUCCAAAUAUUUGUGUCUAAAUGAGUGUAUGGAAAACUCUUUGCUUCUGUGGGUUUUCAAUGAUGUGUCUGCCUGGCUACUUCAUUAAAGUAUACAGAUUCAGAAUGACCAGACAGUUUAGAAGUGUGAUUCCUAUGUGGCCUUAUUGUAACUACUGUCCAGAACAUAAGAUAAUGGAAGGAGUGGGGAGAAGUGGGGGGAUAUUUUACAAGGAAUGAAUUGAGUUUGGGGUGAGGGGAUAAAUCAGAGGGAAUAAAAAUGGCAACAAAUGUUACA